rnacentral:rRNA from 1 species
UACGGGGGGGGCAAGCGUUGUUCGGAAUUACUGGGCGUAAAGGGCUCGUAGGCGGCCAACUAAGUCAUACGUGAAAUCCCUCGGCUUAACCGGGGAACUGCGUCUGAUACUGGAUGGCUUGAGGUUGGGAGAGGGAUGCGGAAUUCCCGGUGUAGCGGUGAAAUGCGUAGAUAUCUGGAGGAACACCGGUGGCGAAGGCGGCAUCCUGGACCAACACUGACGCUGAUGAGCGAAAGCCAGGGGAGCAAACGGG